rnacentral:rRNA from 1 species
UGGGGAAUAUUGGACAAUGGGCGAAAGCCUGAUCCAGCCAUGCCGCGUGUGUGAAGAAGGUCUUCGGAUUGUAAAGCACUUUAAGUUGGGAGGAAGGGCAGUAAGCGAAUACCUUGCUGUUUUGACGUUACCGACAGAAUAAGCACCGGCUAACUCUGUGCCAGCAGCCGCGGUAAUACAGAGGGUGCAAGCGUUAAUCGGAAUUACUGGGCGUAAAGCGCGCGUAGGUGGUUCGUUAAGUUGAAUGUGAAAGCCCCGGGCUCAACCUGGGAACUGCAUCCAAAACUGGCGAGCUAGAGUAGGGCAGAGGGUGGUGGAAUUUCCUGUGUAGCGGUGAAAUGCGUAGAUAUAGGAAGGGACACCAGUGGCGAAGGCGACCACCUGGGCUCAUACUGACACUGAGGUGCGAAAGCGUGGGGAGCAAACAGG